CUACGGGGCGCAGCAGUGGGGAAUAUUGGACAAUGGGGGAAACCCUGAUCCAGCAAUGCCGCGUGUGUGAAGAAGGCCUGCGGGUUGUAAAGCACUUUCGGUUGGGAGGACUGCUUCUAGCACUAAUAUUGUUGGAAGUUGACGUUACCUUCAGAAGAAGCACCGGCUAACUCCGUGCCAGCAGCCGCGGUAAUACGGAGGUUGCAAGCGUUAAUCGGAAUUACUGGGCGUAAAGCGCGCGUAGGCGGCUAGAUCAGUCGGGUGUGAAAGCCCCGGGCUUAACCUGGGAACGGCAUCCGAUACUGUCUAGCUUGAGUACAGGAGAGGAGAGUGGAAUUCCACAUGUAGCGGUGAAAUGCGUAGAUAUGUGGAGGAACACCAAUGGCGAAGGCAGCUCUCUGGCCUGAUACUGACGCUGAGGUGCGAAAGCGUGGGGAGCAAACAGGAUUAGAUACCCCAGUAGUC
rnacentral:rRNA from 1 species